AAAGUGAUUUCAGCUCAGCUGACUGUAUCUAGAGUCUUGAAGGAAUAAAAAUAACUCUGAAUUCCACAGUGGAGAGAGGAGGAGGUGCACUCACUGAUGCUUCUAGCUCCACAAGGA